rnacentral:rRNA from 1 species
GAUUAAGUUAUUAAGGGCGCACGGUGGAUGCCUUGGCACUAGAAGCCGAUGAAGGACGUUACUAACGACGAUAUGCUUUGGGGAGCUGUAAGUAAGCUUUGAUCCAGAGAUUUCCGAAUGGGGAAACCCAGCAUGAGUUAUGUCAUGUUAUCGAUAUGUGAAUACAUAGCAUAUCAGAAGGCACACCCGGAGAACUGAAACAUCUUAGUACCCGGAGGAAGAAAAAGAAAAUUCGAUUCCCUUAGUAGCGGCGAGCGAAACGGGAAGAGCCCAAACCAACAAGCUUGCUUGUUGGGGUUGUAGGACACUCUAUACGGAGUUACAAAGGACGACAUUAGACGAAUCAUCUGGAAAGAUGAAUCAAAGAAGGUAAUAAUCCUGUAGUCGAAAAUGUUGUCUCUCUUGAGUGGAUCCUGAGUACGACGGAACACGUGAAAUUCCGUCGGAAUCUGGGAGGACCAUCUCCUAAGGCUAAAUACUCUCUAGUGACCGAUAGUGAACCAGUACCGUGAGGGAAAGGUGAAAAGCACCCCGGAAGGGGAGUGAAAUAGAACCUGAAACCGUGUGCUUACAAGUAGUCAGAGCCCGUUAAUGGGUGAUGGCGUGCCUUUUGUAGAAUGAACCGGCGAGUUACGAUUUGAUGCAAGGUUAAGCAGUAAAUGUGGAGCCGUAGCGAAAGCGAGUCUGAAUAGGGCGUUUAGUAUUUGGUCGUAGACCCGAAACCAGGUGAUCUACCCUUGGUCAGGUUGAAGUUCAGGUAACACUGAAUGGAGGACCGAACCGACUUACGUUGAAAAGUGAGCGGAUGAACUGAGGGUAGCGGAGAAAUUCCAAUCGAACCUGGAGAUAGCUGGUUCUCUCCGAAAUAGCUUUAGGGCUAGCCUCAAGUGAUGAUUAUUGGAGGUAGAGCACUGUUUGGACGAGGGGCCCCUCUCGGGUUACCGAAUUCAGACAAACUCCGAAUGCCAAUUAAUUUAACUUGGGAGUCAGAACAUGGGUGAUAAGGUCCGUGUUCGAAAGGGAAACAGCCCAGACCACCAGCUAAGGUCCCAAAAUAUAUGUUAAGUGGAAAAGGAUGUGGCGUUGCCCAGACAACUAGGAUGUUGGCUUAGAAGCAGCCAUCAUUUAAAGAGUGCGUAAUAGCUCACUAGUCGAGUGACACUGCGCCGAAAAUGUACCGGGGCUAAACAUAUUACCGAAGCUGUGGAUUGUCCUUUGGACAAUGGUAGGAGAGCGUUCUAAGGGCGUUGAAGCAUGAUCGUAAGGACAUGUGGAGCGCUUAGAAGUGAGAAUGCCGGUGUGAGUAGCGAAAGACGGGUGAGAAUCCCGUCCACCGAUUGACUAAGGUUUCCAGAGGAAGGCUCGUCCGCUCUGGGUUAGUCGGGUCCUAAGCUGAGGCCGACAGGCGUAGGCGAUGGAUAACAGGUUGAUAUUCCUGUACCACCUAUAAUCGUUUUAAUCGAUGGGGGGACGCAGUAGGAUAGGCGAAGCGUGCGAUUGGAUUGCACGUCUAAGCAGUAAGGCUGAGUAUUAGGCAAAUCCGGUACUCGUUAAGGCUGAGCUGUGAUGGGGAGAAGACAUUGAGUCUUCGAGUCGUUGAUUUCACACUGCCGAGAAAAGCCUCUAGAUAGAAAAUAGGUGCCCGUACCGCAAACCGACACAGGUAGUCAAGAUGAGAAUUCUAAGGUGAGCGAGCGAACUCUCGUUAAGGAACUCGGCAAAAUGACCCCGUAACUUCGGGAGAAGGGGUGCUCUUUAGGGUUAACGCCCAGAAGAGCCGCAGUGAAUAGGCCCAAGCGACUGUUUAUCAAAAACACAGGUCUCUGCUAAACCGUAAGGUGAUGUAUAGGGGCUGACGCCUGCCCGGUGCUGGAAGGUUAAGAGGAGUGGUUAGCUUCUGCGAAGCUACGAAUCGAAGCCCCAGUAAACGGCGGCCGUAACUAUAACGGUCCUAAGGUAGCGAAAUUCCUUGUCGGGUAAGUUCCGACCCGCACGAAAGGCGUAACGAUUUGGGCACUGUCUCAACGAGAGACUCGGUGAAAUCAUAGUACCUGUGAAGAUGCAGGUUAUCCGCGACAGGACGGAAAGACCCCGUGGAGCUUUACUGUAGCCUGAUAUUGAAAUUCGGCACAGCUUGUACAGGAUAGGUAGGAGCCUUUGAAACGUGAGCGCUAGCUUACGUGGAGGCGCUGGUGGGAUACUACCCUAGCUGUGUUGGCUUUCUAACCCGCACCACUUAUCGUGGUGGGAGACAGUGUCAGGCGGGCAGUUUGACUGGGGCGGUCGCCUCCUAAAAGGUAACGGAGGCGCUCAAAGGUUCCCUCAGAAUGGUUGGAAAUCAUUCAUAGAGUGUAAAGGCAUAAGGGAGCUUGACUGCGAGACCUACAAGUCGAGCAGGGUCGAAAGACGGACUUAGUGAUCCGGUGGUUCCGCAUGGAAGGGCCAUCGCUCAACGGAUAAAAGCUACCCCGGGGAUAACAGGCUUAUCUCCCCCAAGAGUUCACAUCGACGGGGAGGUUUGGCACCUCGAUGUCGGCUCAUCGCAUCCUGGGGCUGUAGUCGGUCCCAAGGGUUGGGCUGUUCGCCCAUUAAAGCGGUACGCGAGCUGGGUUCAGAACGUCGUGAGACAGUUCGGUCCCUAUCCGUCGUGGGCGUAGGAAAUUUGAGAGGAGCUGUCCUUAGUACGAGAGGACCGGGAUGGACAUACCUCUGGUGUACCAGUUGUCGUGCCAACGGCAUAGCUGGGUAGCUAUGUGUGGACGGGAUAAGUGCUGAAAGCAUCUAAGCAUGAAGCCCCCCUCAAGAUGAGAUUUCCCAACUUCGGUUAUAAGAUCCCUCAAAGAUGAUGAGGUUAAUAGGUUCGAGGUGGAAGCAUGGUGACAUGUGGAGCUGACGAAUACUAAUCGAUCGAAGACUUAAUCAA